rnacentral:rRNA from 1 species
CCAAUAGCGUAUAUUAAAGUUGUUGCAGUUAAAAAGCUCGUAGUUGAAUUUCGAGACCGGUCUACUGGUCGUGCUUUUGUACGUACUGGUAUAAUCGGUUUCUCUCUUCUGACGAACUAUAAUGCCAUUAAUUUGGUGUUUUAGGGAAUCAGGACUGUUACUUUGAAAAAAUUAGAGUGUUUAAAGCAGGCUCACGCUUG